GCGUCUGGGCGGUCGCAGCGAGGCGGGGCGCUGUCGCCCUAGGACAGCGAGAGGGCCCAGGGAGUGGAAUGGUUAAGAGGCUUCUGGAGCUUGCUGAGAGGCUUCUUUUAUACUGAAAGGGGAGGGCGUAAAGUCAAACACUUCCUGGUUCCCGUCAGCCUCUGGAGGGGAUGUGUUAUUCGUUCACAGGUGAGCCUGGCCAGCUAAACAAAGGAGCUGCCAUCACCAUCCUGCCACCACAUGGAAUCUUGCAUGAAGCCAACAUGGUGGCAAUCACAGCUGAGAGAUGGAGGAAGAUUGGGAGCUGAUGACAUCAUUUGAGCCCCUGAAUGAAGCCAAUACAUUCUAUGUUUCUUAACGUGGUUUCUGUUACUUCCAAUUCAAAAUGUUCAAUAAAAGAUAAGUUAGAAACUCUUUUAACUGAUUAA